GUGCCUACGGGACGCAGCAGUAGGGAAUCUUCCACAAUGGGCGCAAGCCUGAUGGAGCAACACCGCGUGAGUGAAGAAGGGUUUCGGCUCGUAAAGCUCUGUUGUUGGAGAAGAACGCGCGUGAGAGUAACUGUUCGCGCAGUGACGGUAUCCAACCAGAAAGUCACGGCUAACUACGUGCCAGUAGCCGCGGUAAUAAGGAGGUGGCAAGCGUUAUCCGGGUUUAUUGGGCGUAAAGC
rnacentral:rRNA from 1 species